CUCCACUAAUAGGUAUAUUUUAUACCAUAUUUUGGUUAUUUAGAAUUCGUUGGGGGUAAAAAGGUAUCCCACAUUAAGCGUUGAGCUGCUUAUCACUAAAGCACUUUACUGCGUCACACACUACCUGCUAGUAGAGGUAGACUUUAGUUUGAUAUUUGUAUUAGCCAUUAGUUUAGGCAUGCUGCCUCUGUGAUUGGUUCUUGGAGCAAUCCCCAUGUCUGCCAAUUUGUGUGCUAUUAAUCUGCCUUAGUCAAUAGCCAAGUGCAGGCUGAUUUUGUUGUGUAAAGGUUACAGAGACGGUCUCCAGCAUUGUAGGAUUACUUUGACAAACGGUCACAUAAGAUGGGAUAUUGUUGGACUGCCUAAAUUUAUGGGGCCUUCAGCAAUAGCCCAGUUUAUAAGUCCAGCACAAUUUGUAGAUCAG